rnacentral:rRNA from 1 species
UACAGAGGUCCCAAGCGUUGUUCGGAUUCACUGGGCGUAAAGGGUGCGUAGGUGGCUUGAAAAGUUUGAUGUGAAAGCUCAGGGCUUAACCCUGAAAUGGCAUUGAAUACUGUCGAGCUGGAGGUUUGGAGGGGGGACUGGAAUUCUUGGUGUAGCAGUGAAAUGCGUAGAUAUGCGGAGGAACACCGAUGGCGAAGGCAAUCCCCUGGGCCUGCACUGACGCUCAUGCACGAAAGCGUGGGGAGCAAACAGG